UACGGAGGGGGCAAGCGUUGUCCGGAUUCAUUGGGCGUAAAGAGCGUGUAGGCGGCCAGGUAGGUCGGUUGUGAAAACUGGAGGCUCAACCUUCAGAGGUCGACCGAAACCAUCUGGCUAGAGUCCGGGAGAGGAGAGUGGAAUUCCUGGUGUAGCGGUGAAAUGCGUAGAUAUCUGGAGGAACACCGGUGGCGAAGGCGGCAUCCUGGACCGACACUGACGCUGAGGCGCGAAAGCUAGGGGAGCAAACGGG
rnacentral:rRNA from 1 species